rnacentral:sRNA from 1 species
UAAUCACCGGCUCACCACGUCGCGUAUCCGGCUGAUAACGGAAUACCGUCCUGCUCAGUGAUAACGUCCUGCAUGCCUGGCGGAUGCUCAUCGUAAAUUCCGCCGUCAGAUAGCUGACGAGCUCACGCUUUAUCACUGGUUUU